rnacentral:rRNA from 1 species
UACGGAGGGGGCAAGCGUUACUCGGAAUUAUUGGGCGUAAAGGGCGCGUAGGCGGUCCUGCGCGUCGGAGGUGAAAUCCCCGGGCUCAACCCGGGAGCUGCCUCCGAUACGGCAGGGCUUGAGUCCGGGAGAGGGGAGCAGAAUUCCCAGUGUAGCGGUGAAAUGCGUAGAUAUUGGGAGGAAUACCGGUGGCGAAGGCGGCUCCCUGGACCGGUACUGACGCUGAGGCGCGAAAGCGUGGGUAGCAAACAGG